AUAGAGAAAUUUUGUCCAUUUGCCAUUUGAGAAGAACACAGUGAGUUUGAUGAUUCUUGAAGCUUCUUUGUAUUGAGGAAACGUCCACCGGAGCCUCUAGCUCUCUUUAAAGCAUGAAGAUGGCGAGACUCAUGAAGGCAAAAUGGAAAGUGAAAACAGUCAUACUUUACGGCAUUUGAUGAGUUUGUUCUGAGCUUCGAGUUUAGCACGGUGCUUCCUGCGACGGAGAAUCGCAUGAUACUGUUUCGCAUUGACAAAUAUUGGUUCAUUCUCUUGAAUGUGAUGAGGCAAUGGCACUCUUGAAGAAACCAAACCCAUCAUCUCUAAAUGUGGCAGCGCCUGCAAAAAGAUUUCCCAAUCAACCAAUCAAUGCGCCAGAUCGAUUCAGAAUAGUAAAA